UUGACUUGCAAAUGAUAAUGAUUAUUAUUGCAAGCAACUGGCCGCGAGGUCAGUUGGAUAACUCAGAAGUCUUAGGUCGGCUUCUGGAUUAUCUCCUCAUCAGGCUAAUCACGGUUUUUGACCCGGAUUUUUUCCGGGUCUUUUUUUU
rfam:Pseudomonas syringae strain GAW0119 contig17.1, whole genome shotgun sequence.